rnacentral:rRNA from 1 species
UGAUUCAUAAUAACUGAUCGAAUCUCUUUUUGAGAUAAAUCAUUCAAGUUUCUGCCCUAUCAGCUUUCGAUGGUAGUGUAUUGGACUACCAUGGCAGUAACGGGUAACGAAGAAUUAGGGUUCGAUUUCGGAGAGGGAGCAUGAGAAACGGCUACCACAUCUAAGGAAGGCAGCAGGCGCGUAAAUUACCCAAUCCUGACUCAGGGAGGUAGUGACAAGAAAUACAAACCGGGAACCUCAUGGUUUCACGGUAUUGCAAUGAGAACAAUUUAAAACCCUUAGCGAGAAUCAAGUGGAGGACAAGUCUGGUGCCAGCACCCGCGGUAAUUCCAGCUCCACUAGCGUAUAUUAAAGUUGUUGCAGUUAAAAAGCUCGUAGUUGAACCUCUGUCUGGGGCUAGUUUUGGCUUUGGUCAGGCUAGUUCUAGGCAUCCGCCUACAAGACUUAGAGGGCAUUCAGUUGUUCACUAGGAGGAGUAGGCAUUUUACUUUGAAAAAAUUAGAGUGUUUAAGGCAGGCAAUCGCCCGCAUAUAUUAGCAUGGAAUAAUAGAAUAGGACACUUUUCCAUUUCGUUGGUUAUUGGAAUCGUGUAAUGAUUAAUAGGGACAGUUGUGGGCAUUUGUAUUUAAUUGUCAGAGGUGAAAUUCUUGGAUUUAUUAAAGACAAACUAACGCGAAAGCAUUUGCCAAGGAUGUUUUCAUUAAUCAAGAACGAAAGUUAGGGGAUCAAAGACGAUCAGAUACCGUCCUAGUCUUAACUAUAAACUAUUCCGACUCAAUGUUUGACUGGCUUAUAUAACCAGUUGAGCGUUGUAUGAGAAAUCAAAGUCUUUAGGUUCUGGGGGGAGUAUGGUUGCAAAGCUGAAACUUAAAGGAAUUGACGGAAGAGCACAACCAGGAGUGGAUUCUGCGGCUUAAUUUGACUCAACACGGGGAAACUUACCAGGUUAAAACAAUAGUGGGAUUGACAGUUUGAGAGCGCUUUCUUGAUUGGUUGGGUGGUGGUGCAUGGCCGUUCUUAGUUGGUGGAGUGAUUUGUCUGCUUAAUUGCGUUAACGAACGAGACCUUAACCUGCUUACUAGACUGGCGAUCAUCAAUCGUUAGCUCUUCUUAGAGGGACUUUGGUUGUUUUAACUCCAAGGAAGUUUGAGGCAAUAACAGGUCUGUGAUGCCCUUAGAUAUCCUGGGCCGCACGCGUCAUACAAUGACUAGUUCAGAAAGUUUUCUCCUGACCCGAAAGGGGAUGGGUAAUCUUGAUAAUACUAGUCGUGUUAGGGAUCGAUCUUUGCAAUUAUAGAUCUUGAACGAGGAAUUCCUAGUAAGUGCGGUUCAUCAGACCGUACUGAUUACGUCCCUGCUCUUUGUACACACCGCCCGUCGCUUCUACCGAGUGGGUGG